rnacentral:rRNA from 1 species
GACAACCCAUCCAACGCGGUGGAGUGGGCGCUCGCAGAUAUGACAAACAUGCCCGAGGUGAUGCGGAAGGCGGUGGAGGAAAUCGACCGGGUGGUGGGCCGAGAGCGGUUGGUGCAGGAGUCGGACAUCCCACGCCUCACCUACGUCAAGGCAUGCAUUCGUGAGGCAUUCCGGCUGCACCCCGUCGCGCCCUUCAACGUGCCACACGUCGCGCUCGCUGACAGCAACAUCGCCGGCUACCGUGUCCCCAAGGGCAGCCAUGUCUUACUCAGCCGUAGGGGACUUGGCCGGAACCCGGCUGUCUAGGACGAGCCGCUACACUUCAAGCCAGAGCGUCAUAUUAAUACCGCAGCCCACAACGACGUCGCCCUCACAGAGAAUGAGUUGCGGUUCAUCUCCUUCAGCACCGGCCGCCGUGUGUGUGUGGCGGCAUCGCUUGGCACAACCAUGUGUGUAAUGCUCUUCGGACGGCUACUGCAGGGAUUCACAUGGACCAAGCCAGCGGGUGUAGCAUCUAUCGAUCUCAGUGAGUCGGAGCACGAUUUAUUCCUAGCCAAACCGCUUGUGCUGCACGCCGAACCACGCCUGAUGGGACAUGUCUACCCCGGUGGCCAAUGUUGA